rnacentral:lncRNA from 1 species
UCUCCCUUUUCAUCCUCUAUCUUCUUCCCAUCUUUACUUUCCACCAGUAUGCUUUUAUUUCCAGUCUUUUCAAUCGUAGAAAACUGGGCAGCAACUUCUCUGUCAGAAAAUUGCCCUGCAAUUUUAGGCUGUUCAUCUGGAGCAGGUUUUUGAGAAACUGUAUCCUCUGUGAGAAGGCACGGGAGAAGAAUAUAUAUAAUUGAUAUGUAAACAUGAUACAAUGAGCCCUAUAUAUAAUACACAUAACCUAGCAUACUCCUAAUACAGUUUAGACUAGACUUCUAAUACAGUUAGACUUCUAACACUCCCCCUCAAGCUGGUGCAUAUAAAUCAUAUGUACCGAGCUUGUUACANNNN